rnacentral:rRNA from 1 species
GAUGAACGCUAGCGGCAGGCCUAAUACAUGCAAGUCGAACGGUAAGUUGAAUAGCAAUAUUUGACCAAGAGUGACGUAAGGGUGCGUAACACGUAUGCAAUCUGCCCUCAACAGGAGAAUAGCUCCCCGAAAGGGGAAUUAACACUCCAUAAUAUGCGAUGGUGGCAUCACUAUUUCAUUAAAUCCACGGAGGUUGAGGAUGAGCAUGCGCAUGAUUAGCUAGUUGGCGGUGUAACGGACCACCAAGGCGAUGAUCAUUAGGGGAACUGAGAGGUUGAUCCCCCACACUGGCACUGAGAUGCGGGCCAGACUCCUACGGGAGGCAGCAGUAGGGAAUAUUGGACAAUGGGUGCAAGCCUGAUCCAGCCAUGCCGCGUGCAGGAAGAAGGCCUUCUGGGUUGUAAACUGCUUUUGCCAGAGGAUAAAAAGCCCAUGCGUGGGAAAUUGAAGGUACCUGGUGAAUAAGCCACGGCUAACUACGUGCCAGCAGCCGCAGUAACAC